AGUCGAACGGCAGCACGGGCUUCGGCCUGGUGGCGAGUGGCGAACGGGUGAGUAAUACAUCGGAACGUGCCCUGUAGUGGGGGAUAACUAGUCGAAAGAUUAGCUAAUACCGCAUACGACCUGAGGGUGAAAGCGGGGGACCGCAAGGCCUCGCGCUACAGGAGCGGCCGAUGUCUGAUUAGCUAGUUGGUGGGGUAAAAGCCUACCAAGGCGACGAUCAGUAGCUGGUCUGAGAGGACGAUCAGCCACACUGGGACUGAGACACGGCCCAGACUCCUACGGGAGGCAGCAGUGGGGAAUUUUGGACAAUGGGGGCAACCCUGAUCCAGCAAUGCCGCGUGUGUGAAGAAGGCCUUCGGGUUGUAAAGCACUUUUGUCCGGAAAGAAAUGGCUCUGGUUAAUACCCGGGGUCGAUGACGGUACCGGAAGAAUAAGCACCGGCUAACUACGUGCCAGCAGCCGCGGUAAUACGUAGGGUGCGAGCGUUAAUCGGAAUUACUGGGCGUAAAGCGUGCGCAGGCGGUUUUGUAAGACAGGCGUGAAAUCCCCGAGCUCAACUUGGGAAUGGCGCUUGUGACUGCAAGGCUAGAGUAUGUCAGAGGGGGGUAGAAUUCCACGUGUAGCAGUGAAAUGCGUAGAGAUGUGGAGGAAUACCGAUGGCGAAGGCAGCCCCCUGGGACGUCACUGACGCUCAUGCACGAAAGCGUGGGGAGCAAACAGGAUUAGAUACCCUGGUAGUCCACGCCCUAAACGAUGUCAACUAGUUGUUGGGGAUUCAUUUCUUCAGUAACGUAGCUAACGCGUGAAGUUGACCGCCUGGGGAGUACGGUCGCAAGAUUAAAACUCAAAGGAAUUGACGGGGACCCGCACAAGCGG
rnacentral:rRNA from 1 species